rnacentral:lncRNA from 1 species
GAAAAAUAAUUUAUUUAUGCAACAUUAUAGAUAAAAAUAGCCCAUAUCAGCCACUACAUAAAGAACAAUAAAUUUACACUGCUAUAGUAUCAAUAAAAAAUAUAUUUACAAUGGUAUAGUAAUUCACAAUGCCAAUUCAUAUGGACUUGUCACAAAUCUUCAUUUCGACAAAUAUGAAUUAGUUCCUACUGAGAAAAAAAAAAAUAUUUAUGCAACAUUAGAGAUAAAAAAAAAGCCUGUAUACGUCACACAUGCCAAAUAUUCAUACAUCUCAAUUACAAAUAUGUAAGAUAAUAUAAUAAAAAAAAGCAAGCUCCAAACAUGCCUACAACUCAAUUAUCAAGAACAUACAUUUUUUGCAUUAAAAAUUUAGUAAAAAAAUUGAUAAUUGCAAGCUAA